UGGCAUCAUAUCUCGACAGUGUCCUGCUUAUUCUCCAAAGCUUUAUAUAUACAGUAGAUUUGGAAUCAGAUAAGCUAAACAAAGUUCAUCAUCUUCCCCUCUUCGAAAGUGGAGCCUUUGCAUCAUAUCAUCCUGUGGCUUUGCAGGAAGAAAAGGACAAAAUUGUAAGAUGGGCAAAGAAUACAAACUCUUUUCAGCGAACAAAAAGGAGCUUUAACUCAUCCCAAAGCUCACCCACAGUGCCAAAAGCAGACAAAUAUUAAGACAACACAUAACAAAGUAAGGGGGGGAAAUCAGAUGCACCAAAUUAACAGCCCCCUUAAUUAAUUCCCUCAGCAGAAUUUCAGUCUUAUCUCAUUGUUUCACUGUUCUUCAUAAACCAGACACCAUUAAUGGCCCCCUGCUAUAGCAGCCGCACAUGUCAAAUUUUUCCCACCCCCCACUCAGUGAAUACUUGUAACUUCCUUCUCUCAAUAGUUUCUCCCAGGUAACUGAAGAAGAAGAAGAAGAAGAAGAAGAAGAAGAAGAAGAAGAAGAAGAGGGAAGGACAGUUCUGGUGUGGCCAAAGAAAUGUCAAAGAGAAAAUGAAAGAAGAAAAAAAAAGGAGAUAAUCCGAUGUGUCUGUAUUCGUAUUUUACUUUUCCCACUUCAUAUUUAUUCGAAAGCUACGGAUCAGACCAAGAUUCAUUGACCAACACAAUACGACACCCAAACUGUGUGAGAACCACAACUCACUGCUCAAGUACCACAAUUCUGGAUUUUGGGAACAUUCAUCUUUCAAUUAAAUGCCCCCCCUCCUAUUUAUCAAGUUUAUUUUUAUUAUAAAAAAAUAUAUUAUUCAAGAUGUGAAUUGUCUCUUUGUUAAUAUGAAAUCCUUUCGAAUGUAAACGUAAACCCAUACAAAUUUUAGUUCAUAAGAGA